CCGAGUUGUAAUUUGUAGAGGAUGCUUUGGGCGCGGCGCCUUCCGAGUUCCCUGGAACGGGACGCCAGAGAGGGUGAGAGCCCCGUACGGUUGGACGCCUAGCCUAUGUAUAGCUCCUUCGACGAGUCGAGUAGUUUGGGAAUGCUGCUCUAAAUGGGAGGUAAAUUUCUUCUAAAGCUAAAUACCGGCCAGAGACCGAUAGCGCACAAGUAGAGUGAUCGAAAGAUGAAAAGCACUUUGAAAAGAGGGUUAAAUAGCACGUGAAAUUGCUGAAAGGGAAGCGUUUGCGACCAGACCUUCUCCGGGGGGAUCAUCCGGUGUUCUCACCGGUGCACUCCCCUCGGUCUAGGCCAGCAUCGGUUUCCUUAGGGGGAUAA
rnacentral:rRNA from 1 species